UACGUAGGGUGCAAGCGUUAAUCGGAAUUACUGGGCGUAAAGCGUGCGCAGGCGGUUAUGUAAGACAGAUGUGAAAUGCCCGGGCUUAACCUAGGAACUGCAUUUGUGACUGCAUGGCUAGAGUUUGGCAGAGGGGGGUAGAAUUCCACGUGUAGCAGUGAAAUGCGUAGAUAUGUGGAGGAACACCGAUGGCGAAGGCAGCCCCCUGGGUCAAGACUGACGCUCAUGCACGAAAGCGUGGGGAGCAAACAGG
rnacentral:rRNA from 1 species